UGUGCCCAAGCAUGAAAGAGUGGUGAUAGGAGCGGACUUCAAUGGGCAAGUUGGCAAAUGGAACAAAGGUGACAAGGAAGUAAUAGGUAGAUAUGGUAUCAAGGACAGGAAUGUGGACGGACAGAUGGUGACACACUUUGC